AUACAGCUGACGAGUCUCAAAUAGGACGAAACAUGCGCCAAACUGUAU
rnacentral:hammerhead_ribozyme from 1 species